rnacentral:lncRNA from 1 species
AUGGGAAUGAUUUAACUUAAUAACAAAUCUAGUAAAAUGAUGCCUUUGCAGCAUGAAUAGAGGAUACUUCAUGUAUGAGCCGGUCCACGGGGGAUACGAGUGUGUUACCGGGAAUGCACAUCGUUCCUAGAAGAUAGUGCAGAUCUAGAGGACACUAUCCGCUGCCUGAUCAAUGGAAAAUAACCAACACCACUUUAAUUGUGUAAUAUUAUUUCACAAUGAAAUGGGGUUAAUAACUAUGUUUAAUUCCUUUGAUAUGUAUACGCAGAACUGACGAACAUAAGCAUUAACGUUGAGUUUCACCAAAGAUGAUCUAGCCUUAUCUCUUCCACUCCCAUGACGACAGUCAGUGACUGGUACGGAAAUAGUGGAUGGACUGUUGUUGAUUUGUUUACACUUAUGUUAACUCUAGUCUCGAAAUCCCAGAUCGGUAACAUUGUGGGAGGCAACCCGUAUAUCUACGCUAGAGAGACGAAUGUGAACCCAUCGUCGGCGGGUUCUUGAGGAACGCAAAUGACAUAUAACACUGGCUAAUACAGUACCAGUUUCUCCGAUUUAUAAUAAGAGGAGCCGUCGUCAAUCCCAUGGUUGACCGUGCGCCCAUUUGAUCUUCAAGUUAGUUCUCUAUAACGGUAGAAGAAUGAAGCGUAUAAAUGCCAGAGGGAUAGAGGAGACCUAUUUUUGGGGAACACAAAAGACUCUAAACACACUGAGAGACAUGGAAGGCCUCCCUUGUUACAAGAAUAUUCAGAAAGACAUCCCACAGCUCACUGAUAUUGAGUUUCACAUAUCCAGUUUGGCCCAUGUCACCACAAAGUCUGGUCUUGAUGGAAUCUUGGAUUCAGGUGGAUUUAAGGGCGGAGAGAAGAGUCUCCUGUGGUGGGGUCUAGCCAUAGACCAUGAUGAUAUCAGAGCAGCAGAAGACCGUUACCUGGAGAAGCUCUUCCCUGACAGAACACCUGAGCAGAGGCAGAUGCAGCAACCCUUCCUCAGCAAGUUCACCACCUCACCUGCCUUCAGGAAGGCAUCACGUUAUGGGAACUUCAGGUUCACUUUCAGUCUGUCUGAUCUCCUGAUGAUGUACAGACAGCAGAUCUGUGGUGGAGAAGAGCCUGUCCUGAGAGUCUAUGGAACUACUGUCUACAAACAAGAGAUCAUGUACACAGUGCUUGUUCACAGUCCAGGUGUACAGGAAUUGGAGAAGUACCCAGCUCUUAAUAAUGGUGGAGAAGAUGUUUUUAAAUACCAAGAGGGGACCAUGGACUGGCAUGCACAAGCAGUGUCUGAAACCCAUGACUUUCAGCCGGUAAUUCAUAGGCCACAGGUGGUUGAAGUGGAACCUUUUGAUUGUUUGUAUGAAUAUGACAAGUGGUUUGUUUGGGACCAUGUGACCCUGGCGUUCCACCUGCCAGAAGGUCAGACCCUACAAGUUGAUAGAGAAAAACUGAUCGAAAACCUCACUGCUUGUGAGGCUGUUGAUCCAUUUCUUGGGGUAAGGUGUGUCUCCAACAGCUACAACUGUGCAUGUAAUUGUUGUUGUCUACACCGCUCAGAAGCUGAAUACAUUGUGGAGCAGAAAAGAAGAGACAAGCAAUCAGACAGCAACAACAGUACCUCAUAGCUUUUGGAAGCUACAGGAAGUAUUUAUGCAUAUUUAUAACUCAGUUAUGAAACCAGAAUAACCAAACCAGCUAUAACACAUCAUUAUGUGGUUUCCUUUCUCAUUUCGUGACAGAGAGCAGAAUUCAUUCAGAACAUCAUCAUAUGAUGAGGAUUAAAUCCUGUCAUGUGAGGUGUUUAUAAUUCAUGCUAUUAGGUAUGUAUUACCACUAGACUGUGUUUUUCAAUGAUCUUUUGUCUUUUUUCAUAUUUGAUGUAGUUAUGUAUAGACAUGAGGUUAGAACCCAUUUAAUAUAUGAUAUUUUUCAAUUAAAUUCAAAUAUUUAUGCCUAUAUGUCAAAGUAAACAAUGCCUGUCGAUGUGGUGGAGCUCUUUUUCCCCACUCUCAUUAUUUAUACCCCACAUAAAUGUUUAUUGGUUAACACAUACAGUAUUUUGUAUUCUUGCUUUUACUACGAUAGGUUACAUUUGAAAAGGAGUCAUUCAAAUCGGCUAUUGCUCCAUCGCCAGGCAGCAUCUUAUUACAUCCACAUUAUCUGGUUUCACUGAACUUCUUCUGCAGGUCCACAUGAGCAUCUUGCCACCUUAAUAAAAACAUAAAUGUAGCACCUUAUUUUAUAGUACGGUUUCUACUGUUUUUACCUGGGGAUACUUUCUGGUACUUCAAAGAAUUCAUACCCAAUUGGUAAACAUCUGCUUAUUUCAAUAGAUCCAAUGGAAACAACGUCCAUUUACCAUUUUACUAUGAAAUGUCUUAGUAAGAACCUGAUAAUUACAUAUUGUAAAGUGCUAUCUACAAAGAGACAGCUCACCAUGACAAACAAGUUAGGACCUUCAAAAGACAGGCAAACAGCAACCACUAGUGGCUGUUCAGGCUACUUAUUAAUCUGAUAGUCAUUCAGUUCUCAAGAAAUGAAACUAGAUGUCCUAUGUAGGGUGUGGCUAAAGGCUUCAGUUACACAAAGGCUUUGUUUACACAGACAGCCUAAUUCUGAUAUAUAUUUUCACUUAUUGGUCUUUUGACCAAUCAGAUCACCUCUGAAAAAGAUCUGAUGUGAAAAGGUCUGACGUUAUUGGUCAAAAGACCAACUAGUGGAAAAACGAUCAGAAAUGGGCUGCCAGUCUAAACACAGCCUUAAGGAUCAGAGUCAGUAUGUAUAGAUACAAACAUAUGAUUGGGACAUUUCAUCAAGGAGCUGCCAUACAGUGGGGAGAUAUCAACUGAAGGCCGCCAAUCUGAAACUCUACAAUCAAGCAGCAAGUCUCCAAACAAAGUAAGUUAUUGUAGGUUAUGUUAUAGAAACAAUUACAUUUCAUGAGACAGCAAUGUGAUUUAAUUACACAUACUUACAGUACAUAAUUUCAUGAAAUAACCACAUAUAAAGCACUAAAUAAUCAGUGCUAAACACAGCUGCUAGAAUCUUGACUAGAACCAAAAAAAUGUAUCAUAUUACUCCAGUGCUAGCCUCUAUACUGGCUUCCUGUUAAGGCAAGGGCUGAUUUCAAGGUUUUACUGCUUGAAUACACUCAAUCUCUUCAGUAGGUCCUAUGAUUGAGUGUAGUCUGGCCCAGGAGUGUGAAUGUGAACGGAAAGGCACGGGAGCAACGAACCGCCCUUGCUGUCUCUACCUGUCCGGUUCCCCUCUCUCCACUGGGAUUCUCUGCCUCUAACCCUAUUACAGGGGCUGAGUCACUGGCUUACUGGUGUUCUUCCAUGCCGUCCCUAGGAGCGGUGCGCCACUUGAGUGGGUUGAGUUGCUGACGUGAUCUUCCUGUCCGGGUUGGCGCCCCCCCUUGGGUUGUGCCGUGGGGGAGAUCUUUGUGGCCAUACUCGGCCUUGUCUCAGGAUGGUAAGUUGGUGGUUGAAAAUAUCCCUCUAAGGGUGAAUGUGCAAGACAAAAUAUUUAAGUGCCUUCAAACGGGGUAUGGUAUUGGGUGCCAUGGGCACCAGUUUGUGUCAAGAACUGCAACGCUGCUGGGGUUUUCACUCAACAGUUUCCCGUGUAUCAAGAACGGUCACAAGAACAGUUACAUACCAACGGGCUGUGUGCUCCUGAUGAUUGUCUGCGGUCAAGUGAUUACCAGGUGCUGUAAUUUAAGUCCUAGUGAAGCUGCGCAUGCGCACAUAAUGUAACAUAUCUGAGCAUCUAAGAAACUUAAAGAAAUCACUCGUUCCCCAUUUAAUUGAACACAUCAGACCCAUUUGCUUCUCUUU